rnacentral:rRNA from 1 species
UACGUAGGGUGCAAGCGUUUAAUCGGAAUUACUGGGCGUAAAGCGUGCGCAGGCGGUUUUGUAAGUCUGUCGUGAAAUCCCCGGGCUCAACCUGGGAAUUGCGAUGGAGACUGCAAGGCUAGAAUCUGGCAGAGGGGGGUAGAAUUCCACGUGUAGCAGUGAAAUGCGUAGAGAUGUGGAGGAACACCGAUGGCGAAGGCAGCCCCCUGGGUCAAGAUUGACGCUCAUGCACGAAAAGGCGUGGG